AGCGUCGUGCGGGAGCCUGAGCGCUUCAGCGGCUGUUGGGCAGGGCGGCUGGCUUCCCGGUGGGCUCUGAGGGAGAAGCGAGCAGCCAUGCAGGCCCCAGACGCAGGUGCAGCGGGAGGCGCAGGCGGUGAGGCGAGCGAUGCUGGGGCAGGGGGUGUCCCUGCAGGCCCCAGAGGCACUGCAGGAUGCGGCGGCGCGAGACCGGAGGGCGCUGUGGCUGACAGGCUCCCUCGGUUGAGGGGGCAUCGCACGCUCCAGGGCAGGGUGAAGAGACCCGGGUCACGGUGUCGGCCUCAGCCUCGGAAGGAGGCCCUGGGCGCAGAGUGCUGGAGUCCGCCCUCACAGAGCCUUUCCUGCCCUUCGUGGAGGCGGAGAUUGCCCACCUGUACCUGUCCUGGCCCCAGGUGGCGGACACCUCGCAGGGACGGUCCACCGGGAGUUCGCAGUGAUUGGCAGUGGCCUGGUUCUCCCAGUAACUGCUGAAAACUCUGGCCUCCUCCAAAUUUCUGUCACCUCCUUGCUCAACCAGCUUUCCGUGGUGGUGCAGACAGACCAUGCAGCGCUUUGUGCCCGGAUUUUCGCUAAGCCUCUGCGGGGAAAGGGCGGUUGAAGUCCGGUCUUGUGUCUGUUCCUGGGCAGCGCAGCCCUCCCUAGGUCAAUGAUUCCUGUAGUAGUGGCCACUUUAUUGGGCGGGGGGUGGGGGAAGCUAAUUGUUUGACUGCACUGACCCUUGGGUGCUCUCUACCCACUCGUUCGAAUUGCUGCGUAAAUGCUUGUUACCACUGAAAAUAAA